rnacentral:rRNA from 1 species
GACGAACGCUGGCGGCGUGCUUAACACAUGCAAGUCGAACGGAAAGGCCCUGCUUUUGUGGGGUGCUCGAGUGGCGAACGGGUGAGUAACACGUGAGUAACCUGCCCUUGACUUUGGGAUAACUUCAGGAAACUGGGGCUAAUACCGGAUAGGAGCUCCUGCUGCAUGGUGGGGGUUGGAAAGUUUCGGCGGUUGGGGAUGGACUCGCGGCUUAUCAGCUUGUUGGUGGGGUAGUGGCUUACCAAGGCUUUGACGGGUAGCCGGCCUGAGAGGGUGACCGGACACAUUGGGACUGAGAGACGGCCCAGACUCCUACGGGAGGCAGCAGUGGGGAAUAUUGCACAAUGGGCGGAAGCCUGAUGCAGCAACGCCGCGUGCGGGAUGACGGCCUUCGGGUUGUAAACCGCUUUCGCCUGUGACGAAGCGUGAGUGACGGUAAUGGGUAAAGAAGCACCGGCUAACUACGUG